rnacentral:tRNA from 1 species
AAAGCUUUAAGUUAAAUAAACUAUUAACCUUCAAAGUUAAAAUUGCAACCCUCUGUAGGCUUUA